GCAUAACAGAGGCACGUUACAUUAAAUGUAAAACCUUCUACACCAUUUCCCCCCCUGCCCCCAAACCUUGCAUUGGGGCACCUGAUUGCUUACCCUUUGCAUAUUCAAUACUGACAAACCUCACGACAAGUACGAUAAGGCAAUUAUAUACAAUGAGGGUUUUAUUGGUAGUAUUUAUUCUCUGCAACAUUAUUCUAGGAGUAUUUUCAUUUAAAUGCAAGAGCUGCCUGAAUGUACCUGAGCCCCGAUGUGAAGACA